rnacentral:rRNA from 1 species
AAGACCUUGCACUUUUGGAGCGGCCGAUGCCUGAUUAGCUAGUUGGUGGGGUAAUGGCCUACCAAAGCUUCGAUCAGUAGCUGGUCUGAGAGGACGGCCAGCCACACUGGGACUGAGACGCGGCCCAGACUCCUACGGGAGGCAGCAGUGGGGAAUUUUGGACAAUGGGCGCAAGCCUGAUCCAGCCAUGCCGCGUGAGUGAAGAAGGCCUUCGGGUUGUAAAGCUCUUUCAGCCGGGAAGAAAAGGUUGCGACUAAUAAUCGCAAUCCAUGACGGUACCGAAAGAAGAAGCACCGGCUAACUACGUGCCAGCAGCCGCGGUAAUACGUAGGGUGCGAGCGUUAAUCGGAAUUACUGGGCGUAAAGGGUGCGCAGGCGGUUUUGUAAGUCAGAUGUGAAAUCCCCGGGCUUAACCUGGGAACU